CCUACGGGAGGCUGCAGUGGGGAAUAUUGCACAAUGGGCGCAAGCCUGAUGCAGCCAUGCCGCGUGUGUGAAGAAGGCCUUCGGGUUGUAAAGCACUUUCAGCGGGGAGGAAGGCGUUAAGGUUAAUAACCUUGUCGAUUGACGUUACCCGCAGAAGAAGCACCGGCUAACUCCGUGCCAGCAGCCGCGGUAAUACGGAGGGUGCAAGCGUUAAUCGGAAUUACUGGGCGUAAAGCGCACGCAGGCGGUCUGUCAAGUCGGAUGUGAAAUCCCCGGGCUCAACCUGGGAACUGCAUUCGAAACUGGCUGGCUAGAGUCUUGUAGAGGGGGGUAGAAUUCCAGGUGUAGCGGUGAAAUGCGUAGAGAUCUGGAGGAAUACCGGUGGCGAAGGCGGCCCCCUGAACAAAGACUGACGCUCAGGUGCGAAAGCGUGGGGAGCAAACAGGAUUAGAUACCCGAGUAGUC
rnacentral:rRNA from 1 species